UGUUCUCUGUUUAGUGAGUCCUCCAGAUCAGAGGCAGUAGGGAUGACCAGGGAUGUUCUCUGUUUAGUGAGUCCUCCAGAUCAGAGGCAGUAGGGAUGACCAGGGAUGUUCUCUGUUUAGUGAGUCCUCCAGAUCAGAGGCAGUAGGGAUGACCAGGGAUGUUCUCUGUUUAGUGAGUCCUCCAGAUCAGAGGCAGUAGGGAUGACCAGGGAUGUUCUCUGUUAGUGAGUCCUCCAGAUCAGAGGCAGUAGGGAUGACCAGGGAUGUUCUCUGUUUAGUGAGUCCUCCAGAUCAGAGGCAGUAGGGAUGACCAGGGAUGUUCUCUGUUUAGUGAGUCCUCCAGAUCAGAGGCAGUAGGGAUGACCAGGGAUGUUCUCUGUUUAGUGAGUCCUCCAGAUCAGAGGCAGUAGGGAUGACCAGGGAUGUUCUCUGUUUAGUGAGUCCUCCAGAUCAGAGGCAGUAGGGAUGACCAGGGAUGUUCUCUGUUUAGUGAGUCCUCCAGAUCAGAGCCAGUAGGGAUGACCAGGGAUGUUCUCUGUUUAGUGAGUCCUCCAGAUCAGAGGCAGUAGGGAUGACCAGGGAUGUUCUCUGUUUAGUGAGUCCUCCAGAUCAGAGCCAGUAGGGAUGACCAGGGAUGUUCUCUGUUUAGUGAGUCCUCCAGAUCAGAGGCAGUAGGGAUGACCAGGGAUGUUCUCUGUUUAGUGAGUCCUCCAGAUCAGAGCCAGUAGGGAUGACCAGGGAUGUUCUCUGUUUAGUGAGUC